GACGAACGCUGGCGGCGUGCUUAACACAUGCAAGUCGUACGGUAAGGCCCUUUCUGGGGUACACGUUUGGCGUACGCGUGUGUAACACGUGUGUAACCUGCCCACAUCUUUUGGCUAACGCUAGGAUACUAGUCCUAAUACUUGAUUUGUGCUCCUGCUGCAUGUUGGGGGUUGUUAAGCUCCUGCGGUUGUGGAUGGACUCGCUGGCUAUCUGCUUGUUGGUGUGUUAGUGGCCUACCAAGGCGGCGACGGGUAGCCGGCCUGAGAGGGUGACCGGCGACAUGGGGACGGAGAGACGGCCCAGAAGCAUACGGGAGGCAGCAGGGGGGAAUAGAGGACAAAGGGAGCAAGCCUGAGGGAGCAACGCCGCGAGCGGGAUGACGGCCUUCGGGUUGUAAACAGCAUGCAGCAGGGACGAAGCGUUGGGGGACGGAACGUGAAGAAGAAGAACGGGCAAACAACGG
rnacentral:rRNA from 1 species